GAUGAACGCUGGCGGCAUGCCUAAUACAUGCAAGUCGAGCGAACAGACGAGGAGCUUUCUCCUCUGACGUUAUAGGCGGACGGGUGAUUAACACGUGGACAGCCUAACUAUAAGACUGGGAUAACUUCGGGAAACCAUGGCUACUACCCGAUAAUAUAUUGAAUCUGAUUGGGCAAUAGUGAAAGACGCUUUUGCUUUCACUUAUAGAUGGAUCAGCGCCGGAUUAAUUAGUUGGUAAGGUAACGGCUUAGCAAGGCGACGAUGCGUAGCCGACCUGAGAGGGUGAUCGGCCACACUGGAACUGAGACACGGUCCAGACUCCUACGGGAGGCAGCAGUAGGGAAUCUUCCGCAAUGGGCGAAAGCCUGACGGAGCAACGCCGCGUGAGUGAUGAAGGUCUUCGGAUCGUAAAACUCUGUUAUUAGGGAAGAACAAAUGUGUAAGUACCUAUGCACGUCUUGACGGUACCUAAUCAGAAAGCCACGGCUAACUACGUG
rnacentral:rRNA from 1 species